CUGGGGGGAGGGGCAUGCGGCCACAUCGCCUCCAGCUCCGCGGGGCUUUCCCUGGGGCUGCGGGGGAAAAAAACCUUUACAGAGCAAACACUUUACAUAAAUGUAAACAUGCCAACCUGCUUUAUAAUUAAGCAAAACAAACUUCUAGGCCCGAGGUUUUAAAAUUCAUUUAAGAAUGAGACAAUGAGGGGCUGGAGCGAUAGCACAGCGGGUAGGGCGUUUGCCUUGCACGCGGCCGACCCGGGUUCGAUCCCCAGCAUCCCAUAUGGUCCCCUGAGCACCGCCAGGAGUAACUCCUGAGUGCAAAGCCAGGAGUAACCCCUGUGCAUCACCGGGUGAGACCCAAAAAGAAAAAAAAAAAAAGAAUGAGACAAUGAGGGGCUGCAGCAAUAGCACAGCGGGUAGGGCGUUUGCCUUGCAUUCGGCUGACCGGGGUUCAAUUCCCAGCAUCCCAUAAUGAUCCCGCAGCACCGCCAACCGCCAGGAGUAAUUGCUGAGUGCAUGAGCCAGGAGUAACCCCUGUGCGUCACCAGGUGUGACCCAAAAAAGAAAAAAAAAAAGAAUGAGACAAUGAACUCAAGACAAAGAUAAAGAAUCUCUGCUCCUUCACCUCAAGUAGUAAAGCACCCCCACUCUUCAUCUUUCCCUGACUCUGCAACGCCCCCUGCUAUUGGGGGAAGCAGCCAGCCAAGUUGGAUGUCUCUGAUCCUGCACACUGUGGCUGUGUCUCAAGUGAGCAAGCGUGUCCUGAUCUCCAUGAGGAUUCCCAAACAGGGUGGAUGUCUUCUGAGGGUGAACAGAAUGGAGAAAGUGUCCAUGCUCCGAAGAAGCCCUCCCCUGGAAAAAGUUCCUUGGUGUCUGUUGCAUCCAAUCCAUGGACACAACUUCCCCUAGUGAGGCAACCCCAGACAAUGAGGGAGGAGUAGUUUUAUAAUGUGUCUGUCACACCAACAGGCCCAACAAGAAAAAGCACUGUGGACUGAACCUGUCCCAAGUGUAAGGAAUGUGGGGGAGCCUUCCCGUGUUCUCAGCACUGUGAUGUUCUCUUAGAAAUCCAUAGUGGACAGAAUACACAGGAAUGUCAACAGCAAGGACAAACUUUGAGUCAGGCAUCACCCUGGUGUGACCAUCCGAACCUCCACGUGGGAGAGAAAUGAAUGUGGGAAGGCAUAUUGUCAUUCUUCAAGUCUUCGUAGUCAUACUGGAGAGAAACCUCAUGUUUGUAAGGAAUGUGGGGAGGCCUUCUUUCAACCUGGGAACCUUACUAAGCACAGGAAAAUUCAUAGUGAGGAGAAUCCUUAUAAAUGUCAGACAUGUGGAAAGGCCUUCUCUUUGCUCUCAGGCCUUACUGUGCAUUUGAAAAUGCAUGGAGAGAAGUCUUAUAUAUAUAAGGAAUGUGGGAAGGCUUUGAUUUAUUCCUGUGGCCUCACUUGGCAUAUGGAAAUUCAUACUGGAGAGAAAUAUUGUUUAUGUAAUGAAUGUGAGCAGGGCUCCAUGUUCCCCUCAAGCCUUAGUAAACAUAGUACAGUUCAUGCUAGAUGACUUGAUCCCCUAAUAAUCAUUCCUAAGGUCAGAAGAGGCCCCCUCAGUAAAGCAAGUUUCCUUCGGAUAAGGGGAUCAGGGGUGAACAAAUGUGCAGCCAAGAAAGAAAAAAUCUUGGUAGCAUGUAAUAAGAUUCCUAUGACAUCAGUUCUAUAAGGGAAAGGUACUUGCCUAUUAUCACCUGUGCUGCAGCUAUGCCAGUGUCCUGGUGUUUGAAUUUUCAUGUCUGUUAACUUGUAAAUAAUGGGGUCUUGGUGAUGGAAGCUAGGAGGAAGGUGAGUAAAUAAACAGGUACAAAAACCGA